GCUAUCAUCAUUAACUUUAUUUAUUACCGUCAUUCAUUUCUGAAUGUCUGUUUACCCCUAUUUCAACCGAAUGCUUCGCAUUCGGUUUUUUU
rnacentral:other from 1 species